UACGUAGGUGGCAAGCGUUAUCCGGAUUUAUUGGGCGUAAAGGGAACGCAGGCGGUCUUUUAAGUCUGAUGUGAAAGCCUUCGGCUUAACCGGAGUAGUGCAUUGGAAACUGGGAGACUUGAGUGCAGAAGAGGAGAGUGGAACUCCAUGUGUAGCGGUGAAGUGCGUAGAUAUAUGGAAGAACACCAGUGGCGAAAGCGGCUCUCUGGUCUGUAACUGACGCUGAGGUUCGAAAGCGUGGGUAGCAAACAGG
rnacentral:rRNA from 1 species